UGCAGGAAAUGGCGUGUCAGUGUCAAAUACUCGGAUUAAACUUCCGUUUGGAAGUCCUAGCUGGUUCGGAAAGGGAUGGAUCACCAUUCACCUUUCCCCUUCAAAAGAUGGAUAGAUAAGAGUCCCAUAAAUCUCUAAGUGAUAUGUCUGUCGGGACCUCCCUUAUCCCUUUUAUAUGUAAUCCUCAAUCCUACGCGAAUUUUGCACCUGAAAUCCCCCGUUUCAGGUCGAUGUUGCAGAAGCUAAACUCUGCAUGGAUCGGUUUUCCCUGUGCCUCAACUCUCUCUCUCUCUCUCUCUUGGUGAUUGUUCGGUCGUCUAUAACAGAUAAGGCUGCCAUCACUGUGACCUGAGUCUGCAGUAUAUUGCUGAUACCAUUUGCAGUCUUAUCCAAAUAAAAUGGAGAACAACUUCUGCAAAAGCUAUGCCAUCUCAAAAAAGAAAUGAAAUUGGGAAAGAAACAAUAAGCGGAUGACAUUGAACUUAAGGAAAACAAACAAGAGGGAGAGAAGCACCAAAUAUAAAAAGAGAAGAUAGGUUAUCCCCCAAGGAAAAAAAAAAAAAAUUGCCGCCAAAGACAGUUAAAGCAAAAGAUGCUUCACAUGGCGUCGUCGUCCAGAAAAUAAAAGAGAAGAAAGUGAAGGAGUGAGUCGUCAUUUGGAAUCCGUGACUUGUCACCUCAUAUAUAUGUUCUCACCACAUGCGCCACACCACACCACACUUGCCUUUUAAAAAAAUUUGACAUUGCCUAUGUACAUUGUUAUCUGCUUAUCUUUCUCUUUCCUAGUGACCCGCACAUUGUAUAAAUAUAAUAUUUGACCUUCGUUUGUUCUUUACUUUGACUUUAAGAAACUUGUGUUUGUAUUGUGUUUGUACGUGUGUGUGUGUGUGUGUGUGUGUGUGUGUGUGUUUAUACAUCUAUAUAUAUUAAUGGCAAAGUUCUUUUUUCCCCUCUCCUUGAAAAACUUAUUGGCGGGUUGGCUCCAUACCUUGCAUA